GUGGGGAAUCUUAGACAAUGGGGGAAACCCUGAUCUAGCCAUGCCGCGUGAGCGAUGAAGGCCUUAGGGUUGUAAAGCUCUUUCAGAUGGGAAGAUAAUGACGGUACCAUCAGAAGAAGCCCCGGCUAACUCCGUGCCAGCAGCCGCGGUAAUACGGAGGGGGCUAGCGUUGUUCGGAAUUACUGGGCGUAAAGCGCACGUAGGCGGACCAGAAAGUCAGAGGUGAAAUCCCAGGGCUCCACCUUGGAACUGCCUUUGAAUCGCCUGGUCUUUAGGUCGAGAGAGGUGAGUGGAAUGCCGAGUGUAGAGGUGAAAUUCGUAGAUAUUCGGAGGAACACCAGUGGCGAAGGCGGCUCACUGGCUCGAUACUGACGCUGAGGUGCGAAAGCGUGGGGAGCAAACAGGAUUAGAAACCCUAGUAGUCC
rnacentral:rRNA from 1 species